rnacentral:rRNA from 1 species
GACGAACGCUGGCGGCGUGCUUAACACAUGCAAGUCGAACGGAAAGGCCCUGCUUUUGUGGGGUGCUCGAGUGGCGAACGGGUGAGUAACACGUGAGUAACCUGCCCUUGACUUUGGGAUAACUUCAGGAAACUGGGGCUAAUACCGGAUAGGAGCUCCUGCUGCAUGGUGGGGGUUGGAAAGUUUCGGCGGUUGGGGAUGGACUCGCGGCUUAUCAGCUUGUUGGUGGGGUAGUGGCUUACCAAGGCUUUGACGGGUAGCCGGCCUGAGAGGGUGACCGGCCACAUUGGGACUGAGAGACGGCCCAGACUCCUACGGGAGGCAGCAGUGGGGAAUAUUGCACAAUGGGCGGAAGCCUGAUGCAGAAACGCCGCGUGCGGGAUGACGGCCUUCGGGUUGUAAACCGCUUUAGCCUGUGACGAAGCGUGAGUGACGGUAAUGGGUAAAGAAGCACCGGCUAACUACGUG